UUGCCCAGACAACUAGGAUGUUGGCUUAGAAGCAGCCAUCAUUUAAAGAGUGCGUAAUAGCUCACUAGUCGAGUGACACUGCGCCGAAAAUGUACCGGGGCUAAACAUAUUACCGAAGCUGUGGAUUGUCCGUAAGGACAAUGGUAGGAGAGCGUUCUAAGGGCGUUGAAGCAUGAUCGCAAGGACAUGUGGAGCGCUUAGAAGUGAGAAUGCCGGUGUGAGUAGCGAAAGACGGGUGAGAAUCCCGUCCACCGAUUGACUAAGGUUUCCAGAGGAAGGCUCGUCCGCUCUGGGUUAGUCGGGUCCUAAGCUGAGGCCGAUAGGCGUAGGCGAUGGAUAACAGGUUGAUAUUCCUGUACCACCAUUAUUCGUUUUAAGCGAUGGGGGGACGCAGUAGGAUAGGCGAAGCGUACUAUUGGAUUGUACGUCCAAGCAGUAAGACUGAGUGUUAGGCAAAUCCGGCACUCUUAAGGUCAAGCUGUGAUGGGGAGAGGAAAUUGUUUCCUCGAGUCGUUGAUUUCACACUGCCGAGAAAAGCCUCUAGCUAGAAUUGUGGUGCCCGUACCGCAAACCGACACAGGUAGUCAAGAUGAGAAUUCUAAGGUGAGCGAGCGAACUCUCGUUAAGGAACUCGGCAAAAUGACCCCGUAACUUCGGGAGAAGGGGUGCUCUUUAGGGUUAACGCCCAGGAGAGCCGCAGUGAAUAGGCCCAAGCGACUGUUUAUCAAAAACACAGGUCUCUGCUAAACCGUAAGGUGAUGUAUAGGGGCUGACGCCUGCCCGGUGCUGGAAGGUUAAGAGGAGUGGUUAGCUUCUG
rnacentral:rRNA from 1 species